rnacentral:rRNA from 1 species
CAGCAGCCGCGGUAAUACGUAGGGUGCGAGCGUUGUCCGGAAUUACUGGGCGUAAAGGGCUCGUAGGUGGUUUGUCGCGUCGUCUGUGAAAUUCCGGGGCUUAACUCCGGGCGUGCAGGCGAUACGGGCAUAACUUGAGUACUGUAGGGGUAACUGGAAUUCCUGGUGUAGCGGCGAAAUGCGCAGAUAUCAGGAGGAACACCGAUGGCGAAGGCAGGUUACUGGGCAGUUACUGACGCUGAGGAGCGAAAGCAUGGGUAGCGAACAGGAUUAGAUACCCCCGUAGUCCCUGUCUCUUUAC